GACGAACGCUGGCGGCGUGCUUAACACAUGCAAGUGGAGCGACGAACCGGGCUUCGGCCCGGGGCCAAGCCGCGAACGGGUGAGUAUCACGUGGGUAACCUGCCCCGAUGACCGGGAUAACCCGAGGAAACUCGGGCUAAUACCGGAUGUGCUCUCCGCACAUCAGUGCAGAGAGCAAAGGAAGCUUCGGCCGCCGCAUUGGGAUGGGCCCGCGGCCCAUUAGCUUGUUGGUGGGGUAACGGCUCACCAAGGCUGCGAUGGGUAGCUGGUCUGAGAGGACGAUCAGCCACACUGGGACUGAGACACGGCCCAGACUCCUACGGGAGGCAGCAGUGGGGAAUCUUGCGCAAUGCGCGAAAGCGUGACGCAGCAACGCCGCGUGAGGGAAGAAGGCCUUCGGGUUGUAAACCUCUUUCAGGGGGGACGAAGGUCCAGGCGCGAAUAGCGUCCUGGACUGACGGUACCUCCAGAAGAAGCCCCGGCUAACUACGUGCCAGCAGCCGCCGUAAAAC
rnacentral:rRNA from 1 species